rnacentral:lncRNA from 1 species
UUGUAUUUGAUCCCUAUAGAAAAGAUUUAUUACAUAAAAGCCCUCAAAUAUAUUUGUUUGGUCCCUUUACUGAAGUUUUAUUAUAGAACAGUACCAUGUAAUUAAGUAUUAGUCCCUGCAAUAAAUUUUAUUGCAUAAAUGAACCAAUUAGAAGCCAACCUUGGGGGCCCUAUUGGGCCGAGUCUAUGCGGGCCCAUUGGGCCGUGUCCGAUGUGGGCCCUAUCGGGUCAUGUUCAUUAUGAACUAACUUUGGGCCCUAUUGGGACGUGCCCAGUAGUAUUAUUUCUGAAUUUUGCUUAACUCCGAAAUUAACAAGAAAUUAAUUAAAUUUAAACAGGUGAACCUGAUCCGCCUAUCUGAAGUAGGGGUUAAGCGAGAAGAGGUAAGUAACUUAAUGCUUCAAAGUGCAUUUUCGAAAUUAUUUGGUAAAAUAAUUAUUAGUGAAUAUGUUUUGAAAUAUGUUUUGUAUUUAGUAAAAUGGGUCUGGCAUGUUAAAUUUCAUUUGAAAAUUAUGUUGUAUGCUCUGAAAUCCGUAAAAUAUGACUGGAUAAUUUAUGAAAUCUAUUUUUUCUAUAUAAAUGCAUUCUCAGCAUGGCUAUGAUCUGUUC